CUUCUGGGAAAGCUUUCGCGGUAUGGGAUGGGGUCGCGUCCUAUCAGCUUGACGGCGGGGUAACGGCCCACCGUGGCUUCGAUGGGUAGCCGGCCUGAGAGGGCGACCGGCCACAUUGGGACUGAGAUACGGCCCAGACUCCUACGGGAGGCAGCAGUGGGGAAUAUUGCACAAUGGGCGCAAGCCUGAUGCAGCGACGCCGCGUGAGGGAUGGAGGCCUUCGGGUUGUAAACCUCUUUUAUCGGGGAGCAAGCGAGAGUGAGUUUACCCGUUGAAUAAGCACCGGCUAACUACGUGCCAGCAGCCGCGGUAAUACGUAGGGUGCAAGCGUUACCCGGAAUUAUUGGGCGUAAAGGGCUCGUAGGCGGUUCGUCGCGUCCGGUGUGAAAGUCCAUCGCUUAACGGUGGAUCCGCGCCGGGUACGGGCGGG
rnacentral:rRNA from 1 species